rnacentral:rRNA from 1 species
UACGUAGGUGGCAAGCGUUGUCCGGAUUUAUUGGGUUUAAAGGGUGCGUAGGUGGCUUUGUAAGUCAGUGGUGAAAUAUGGCAGCUCAACUGUCAGGGUGCCAUUGAUACUGCAGAGGAUCGCGGAAUUCCCGGUGUAGAGGUGAAAUUCGUAGAUAUCGGGAGGAACACCAGUGGCGAAGGCGGCGAUCUGGGCAGAUACUGACGCUGAGGUGCGAAAGCGUGGGGAGCAAACAGG